GAUGAACGCUGGCGGCGUGCUUAACACAUGCAAGUCGAACGGAAAGGCCCAAGUUUGCUUGGGUACUCGAGUGGCGAACGGGUGAGUAACACGUGGGUGAUCUGCCCUGCACUUCGGGACAAGCCUGGGAAACUGGGUCUAAUACCGGCGAGGACCACUUCUUGGAUGGUGUGGUGGAAAGUUUUUUCGGUGUGGGAUGAGUUCGCGGCCUAUCAGCUUGUUGGUGGGGUAAUGGCCUACCAAGGCGUCGCCGGGUAGCCGGACUGAGAGGGUGUACGGCCACAUUGGGACUGAGAUACGGCCCAGGCGCCUACGGGAGGAAGCAGUGGGGAAUAUUGCACAAUGGGCGCAAGCCUGAUGCAGCGACGCCGCGUGGGGGAUGACGGCCUUCGGGUUGUAAACUGCUUUCGCUAGGGACGAAGCGUUUUGUGACGGUACCUGGAGAAGAAGCACCGGCUAACUACGUG
rnacentral:rRNA from 1 species